CUGAUUAUCUGCCUACUAGCAAUGCAACUACUCCUGAGAAAGACUCAAACUGAACUAGUUGAAGCUAAGGGCCUGCCUUCCCAGCUACUGAGGUAAGGGGCAAAGGAUCCACUUGAUUCAUCACUUUAUUCAUAACCAUUAGAUAGAGAGAGAAUCCCACCCGGCCUAGCUAUAGCUAUCGUAAUGCGUCUCGAUGCCAAAGCUUCCUGAACCAACUGAAGCAAGGAAUAUGAGUAGAAGAGCGCUAGCAUCCCUUGCUCUCUAUC
rnacentral:lncRNA from 1 species